rnacentral:rRNA from 1 species
UACGAAGGGGGCUAGCGUUGUUCGGAAUUACUGGGCGUAAAGCGCACGUAGGCGGAUUGUUAAGUCGGGGGUGAAAUCCUGAGGCUCAACCUCAGAACUGCCUUCGAUACUGGCGAUCUUGAGUUCGGAAGAGGUUGGUGGAACAGCUAGUGUAGAGGUGAAAUUCGUAGAUAUUAGCUAGAACACCAGUGGCGAAGGCGGCCAACUGGUCCGAUACUGACGCUGAGGCGCGAAAGCGUGGGGAGCGAACGGG